AUCUAAUAUUUUGUUCAUCGUUCCUGGAAAAUAGAAAGAGCAGUCGGAGCUCUCUGCUUCUGAGACACCUAGUCGGCGCUGCCACAACAAGAACCAUGGGAAAGAAACCGUCUGGGUCCAAGCAAGCAUUUUUCAUCCUCGGAGCCUUGGCACUGGGUUGGCUAGCCAUUGAGAUCGCCUUCAAGCCCUUCCUCGAUAAGGCCCGCUCCGCCAUGGACAACUCUGAUCCGACUCGGGAUCCCGACGACCUUCUCGAUAAACAAUCUGAUCACUUACAAUCGGACGACGAUCGAAGUACCAAUGCUUGAAGUCGCAUCAUCUUGUGGCGGUAUGAAAGUUUGAAUUUUACAUCUUCUCCUCCGUAUCUUAUAAGUCUGCAAGCCGGCCAUCCCUGCACUUCCUAAAAUGGAUCCAUCUUUGGCUCUUGAGGCUGUGAUGGGAGUGCGCAGAGCCAAGGCAAAAUGAAAAUGGCCUGCAACUCCAUUGUCACUUAAUGUGUUGCUUCCACUCUGAAAAGGGCUCUCCUUCUCCUUUUCAGUUUAAUAUUAAACAAUGCAGCUGUUCUUAUUCUCAAGAUCAUAAUAUGAACAUCCUCAAUAUGGUGAACCAAUAAAGAAGAAGACUUUUGGGGCCAUUGAAGUCUUAAGUUUCUAACUAUAGUUAUGCUGUUUGUGAUGUGAUUGUUAUGGCAGCAUUGGAAUAUGAUCGAGAGCUCUCUGACUUAUUCUCUAAUCGAACAUAUUCUAAAAC